CCCACCGCCUCCGCCCUCGGCUCUGGACAGGGGAGGCGGGCUCGCUGUACGCACGCGCGCUGAGAUGACGGUCACAGUCCAUCAGCAUCCACGCCCCGCCCCUUCCUGGCGCGGCGGGAACGAUGAGCACACUCGGAACGAGACGCCAUUGGUUCGCUGGGCGGAAAAGUGUUGCUGCUGUGGUCCAGACCUUCAUUGCCUCAAUCCUGGUCUAUUACAAGAGCCUGCUUCUUGGUCUCCUUGAAUCAAGUCUCCUCCUGCUCAAAUGCCCAAGAGAUCUUCAAAAAGCAUAGGUCUGACCAUGUCACUUCCCUAUUCAAUAAACUCCAGUGGCUUCCUUUUA